rnacentral:rRNA from 1 species
CCUACGGGAGGCAGCAGUGAGGAAUAUUGGUCAAUGGGCGCGAGCCUGAACCAGCCAAGUAGCGUGAAGGAUGACUGCCCUACGUGUUGUAAACUUCUUUUAUAAAGGAAUAAAGUGUGGCACGCGUGCCCGGUUGUGUGUACCUGAUGAAUAAGCAUCGGCUAACUCCGUGCCAGCAGCCGCGGUAAUACGGAGGAUGCGAGCGUUAUCCGGAUUUACUGGGUGUAAAGGGUGCGUAGGCGGUGAGUUAAGUCUGAAGUGAAAGCCCGGGGCCCAACCCCGGCACUGCGGUUGAAACUGGCUGACUGGAGUGGUAGAGAGGGAAGCGGAAUUCGUGGUGUAGCGGUGAAAUGCGUAGAUAUUAGGAAGAACACCGAUGGCGAAGGCAGCUUGCCGGCGAGACACUGACGCUGAGGCUCGAAAGCGUGGGUAUCGAACAGGAUUAGAUACCCGGGUAGUC